AUGGGAGCUGCCAGAAGCAAAGAUCAGCAAGGCUAUAAAAGGACAAACAACCCAAGGAGGAAGUCAUGCCAAUUUUGGGCUUCCCUGGUGGCUCAGAUGUUAAAGAAUCCACCUGCAAUGCAGGAGACCUGGGUUCGAUCCCUGGGUCAGGAAAAUCCCCUGGAGGAGGGCUUGGCAACCCACUGCAAUAUUCUUGCCUGGAGAAUCCCCAUGGACAGAGAAGCCUGGUAGGUUACAAUUCAUAGUGUUGCAAAGAGUCAGGUACGACUGAGCAACUUAGCACAGCACAGCACAUGCCAAUUUUAUUUCAAAACAUUUAAUUCAAACAAUCACUCUUUUUCAGGUUUAUAAGACUUGUCAGUUAAUAAACAGCAUUUUAUUAAACA
rnacentral:lncRNA from 1 species